GGUGAAGAACGUAGCAAAAUGCGAUACUUGGUGUGAAUUGCAGAAUCCCGUGAACCAUCGAGUUUUUGAACGCAAGUUGCGCCCGAAGCCUUUUGGCCGAGGGCACGUCUGCCUGGGCGUCACGCAUCGCGUCGCCCCCCACAAUUCUCCGUAAAGGGAACGUGUGUUUUGGGGGCGGAUAUUGGUCUCCCGUGCUCAUGGCGUGGUUGGCCGAAAUAGGAGUCCUUUCGAUGGACGCACGAACUAGUGGUGGUCGUAAAAACCCUCGUCUUUUGUUUCGUGCUGUUGCUCGCAAGGUAAACUCUUUAAAAACCCCAAUGUGUCGUCUCUUGACGACGCUUCGACCGCGACCCCAGGUCAGGCGGGACUACCCGCUGAGUUUAAGCAUAUCAAUAAGCGGAGGA
rnacentral:misc_RNA from 1 species